UACGUAGGGGGCGAGCGUUGUCCGGAAUUACUGGGCGUAAAGGGUACGCAGGCGGUUAUGCAAGUCAGAUGUAAAAGGCAAUGGCUCAACCAAUGUAAGCAUUUGAAACUGCAUGACUUGAGUAUAGGAGAGGUAAGUGGAAUUCCUAGUGUAGCGGUGAAAUGCGUAGAUAUUAGGAGGAACACCAGUGGCGAAGGCGACUUACUGGACUAAAACUGACGCUGAGGUACGAAAGCGUGGGGAGC
rnacentral:rRNA from 1 species